rnacentral:rRNA from 1 species
AUUGAACGCUGGCGGCAUGCCUAACACAUGCAAGUCGAACGGCAGCACGGGUGGUUGCACCUGGUGGCGAUUGCGGAAGGGGGGAGUGAUACAUCGGAACAUGUCCCGUAUUGGGGGAUAGCCAGGCCGAAGCCGGAUUAAUACUGCAGACGAAUAACGGAUAAAAGCGGGGGCACUUGGGGACUCGCGCUUUAGGGUUGGCCGAUGACGGAUUAGCUAGUUGGUGGGGUAAAGGCCUACCAAGGCGACGAUCCGUAGCUGGUCUGAGAGGAUGACCAGCCACACUGGGACUGAGACACGGCCCAGACUCCUACGGGAGGCAGCAGUGGGGAAUUUUGGACAAUGGGCGAAAGCCUGAUCCAGCAAUGCCGCGUGUGUGAAGAAGGCCUUCGGGUUGUAAAGCACUUUUGUCCGGAAAGAAAACCUUUGCCCUAAUACGGUCGGGUGAUGACGGUACCGAAAGAAUAAGCACCGGCUAACUACGUG